rnacentral:rRNA from 1 species
UACAGAGGGGGCAAGCGUUAUUCGGAAUUAUUGGGCGUAAAGGGCGCGUAGGCGGCUUCGCAAGUGGAAGGUGAAAUCCCUCGGCUUAACCGAGGAACUGCCCUCCAAACUGCGUUGCUUGAGGCCGGGAGAGGUGAGUGGAAUUCCUAGUGUAGAGGUGAAAUUCGUAGAUAUUAGGAAGAACACCAGUGGCGAAGGCGGCUCACUGGUCCGGUACUGACGCUGAGGUGCGAAAAGCGUGGGGAGCAAACAGGG